rnacentral:rRNA from 1 species
UACGGGGGGAGCAAGCGUUGUUCGGAUUUACUGGGCGUAAAGGGCGCGUAGGCGGUCAGCACAAGUCAAUUGUGAAAUCUCCGAGCUUAACUCGGAAAGGUCAACUGAAACUGUGCGACUAGAGUGCGGAAGGGGCAACUGGAAUUCUUGGUGUAGCGGUGAAAUGCGUAGAUAUCAAGAGGAACACCUGCGGCGAAGGCGGCAUCCUGGACCAAUAUUGACGCUGAGGAGCGAAAGCUAGGGGAGCAAACGGG